GGUUUGGUUAGGUAAAGUGUGGAAAAUAUAGCUCUGCGAAAUUUGCAAAUUUUGUGUUAGUUUGUAUUACACAUGGGAAAAUGCAUCACAAUGGGGCCGAAAGUGGUGCAUUUUCCCUUGUGUAAUACAAAUGAAUACAAAAUUAGCAAAUUUCGUAGGGCUAUAUUUUCCUCAUUUUACAACAUUUCACGGCCAAACU